AGGGCUCCUCCCACCCUUUGUUUAUUAUACCUUUGUUGCUUUGGCGGGCCCGUCCUCGGACCACCGGCUUCGGCUGGUCAGUGCCCGCCAGAGGACCUAAAACUCUGUUUGUUCAUAUUGUCUGAGUACUAUAUAAUAGUUAAAACUUUCAACAACGGAUCUCUUGGUUCUGGCAUCGAUGAAGAACGCAGCGAAAUGCGAUAAGUAAUGUGAAUUGCAGAAUUCAGUGAAUCAUCGAAUCUUUGAACGCACAUUGCGCCCCCUGGUAUUCCGGGGGGCAUGCCUGUUCGAGCGUCAUUACAACCCUCAAGCUCUGCUUGGAAUUGGGCUCUGCCGGUCCCGGCAGGCCUUAAAAUCAGUGGCGGUGCCAUUCGGCUUCAAGCGUAGUAAUUCUUCUCGCUUUGGAGACCCGGGUGCGUGCUUGCCAGCAACCCCCAAUUUUUUCAGGUUGACCUCGGAUCAGGUAGGGAUACCCGCUGAACUUAAGCAUAUCAAUAAGCGGAGGA
rnacentral:rRNA from 1 species